rfam:TPA: Bos taurus chromosome 16, whole genome shotgun sequence.
CCUGGUGGCUCAGAUGGUAAAGAAUCUGCUUGCAAUGCAGGAGACCCAGGUUCAAUCCCUGGGUCAGGA